GCCAGAAGGAGCCCUGCUAGGGGCUGAAUGGUGGACGUGCCGCCAGGGACAGCAAAGGGGGCUUCCAAUCCAGGCUUUUGGGAUGUUGGGGCUGUGGUGGGAAAAGCACAUGUCACCCUGUGAUGUCCGCCCCGCACGAUUAUGCUGAUGCCUAGAUUAGCCGCACUCCUUCCCGUCCAGACUCGGCAUGUACAUGUCCAGGGAGCGAGGACUCACUUUGUUCAGAGUUCUGGAAGGAAGUACUUCUCUAUACUGAAUUCUCUCCAACGUUUUGAAGCGGACGGCCACUUUAAGAUCUGUAUUCUCAGGCCUGUGCCCAGAGACCCACUCACAGCAUUCACAAAUGGAAGAAACUCUGGGGGACCGGAGUGGGGAAGCAUUCUUGUUCCUUUCCCCAGGUUGGGAGCUGUAGCAGAGAAGCGCACUAAAACCAUCUAACACCCC